UGGGGAAUAUUGCACAAUGGGGGAAACCCUGAUGCAGCGACGCCGCGUGAAGGAAGAAGUAUCUCGGUAUGUAAACUUCUAUCAGCAGGGAAGAAAAUGACGGUACCUGACUAAGAAGCCCCGGCUAACUACGUGCCAGCAGCCGCGGUAAUACGUAGGGGGCAAGCGUUAUCCGGAUUUACUGGGUGUAAAGGGAGCGUAGACGGAAGAGCAAGUCUGAUGUGAAAGGCUGGGGCUUAACCCCAGGACUGCAUUGGAAACUGUUUUUCUAGAGUGCCGGAGAGGUAAGCGGAAUUCCUAGUGUAGCGGUGAAAUGCGUAGAUAUUAGGAGGAAAAACAGUGGCGAAGGCGGCUUACUGGACGGUAACUGACGUUGAGGCUCGAAAGCGUGGGGAGCAAACAGG
rnacentral:rRNA from 1 species